rnacentral:rRNA from 1 species
AUUGAACGCUGGCGGCAUGCCUUACACAUGCAAGUCGAACGGCAGCAUGAUCUAGCUUGCUAGAUUGAUGGCGAGUGGCGAACGGGUGAGUAAUACAUCGGAACGUGCCCUGUAGUGGGGGAUAACUAGUCGAAAGAUUAGCUAAUACCGCAUACGACCUGAGGGUGAAAGUGGGGGACCGCAAGGCCUCAUGCUAUAGGAGCGGCCGAUGUCUGAUUAGCUAGUUGGUGAGGUAAAGGCUCACCAAGGCGACGAUCAGUAGCUGGUCUGAGAGGACGAUCAGCCAAACGAGGACUGAGAAACGGCCCAGACUCCUACGGGAGGCAGCAGUGGGGAAUUUUGGACAAUGGGCGAAAGCCUGAUCCAGCAAUGCCGCGUGUGUGAAGAAGGCCUUCGGGUUGUAAAGCACUUUUGUCCGGAAAGAAAUGGCUCUGGUUAAUACCUGGGGUCGAUGACGGUACCGGAAGAAUAAGGACCGGCUAACUACGUG